CGGCCCCGCCGCUCCCGCAGCCCCGCGGAUCCGCCGCAUCCGGCGGGUCCCUCGCAUCCUUCGCCCGGGGGAGCGGCGGGGCCCCCUCGGCUGAGCGGUAAAACCCGGCGCUGCUGAGGGAAAACCCCGCUAAGGCUGAGGAAAUGAGCUCAAGGGUAGUUUGAGAGCUGGUUGCUUUGGUGGAUCAGUCACAUCCCUCCUUUUAGUGCAGUGUCAGGUAGGACCUGGAAGAAUUUGUAGCAAGAAUCAACAGCCAAGACUUCAGUGAGAGCUGAUCAAAACCAGAACUGAGAUUUUCAUUUCUAAGAAGGCACAAGGAGAAGUUAAACCCACAAUUUGCUAAGGCACCAAGCGGCGCCAUAGGACGCUCCUGGAAAAUUCAUCUUAAGCUAUAUUUAGUACGUUCACAGAAAUUGUGGCUCCCACUUGAGCCAUUUCAGCUCAAAUAUAAAUAAAUAAAUAAAUAUUUGAGAGAAUUGUGUGCUUCUGAGUCUUGUUUAGUUCUAAUAUGUGUCUUUCUAGGUGAGCUCCUACCUCAGAGCAGAUUCAUCUCUAGCUGCUGUUCUAUAGGUGUGCACCUGUACUUCACGUGUUAAAGUCCAUCAAAAAUACACUAGACAGUGAAAUGCUAAUAUUGAAAGCUUUUAGUACACAAAUGGCUAACAAGAGCCCUUCAGACAAACUCUUCCCUGCAAGUUUGUUUUAGAAUAAUUAUAGUUUCUUGUAGUUACUGGCUUUUAAUCAUGGGCUCUUGAGAUUUUUUUUUAGUUCCAUUAUCUUUGUAGAGUUUAGUUCUUGAAAUUUUAUCACGAUCUCAUCGCAUGAGUGUGAGAUACUCCAGGGCAGUGCUGUUCAAUGCCUGCUUGAGUACAAUUUUAAAAUGUAAUUUUUUUUCUUUUCUCUGAUUUAUACCUAGGUCAAAUUCAUAUUAUUGUCUUGAGUUCCUUCUUGAAAACUCACUGCAGCUUCAUUCGAGAUCUUAAAAUAUGAUAAUUCUGCUUGCAUCCUCUGGACUCUUGUGGGAAUUUUUCCCCUUUGUGGCCAACAUUCACAGCAGCUUGAAGUUACUCUCAUUGUGGAUGACAUUUUCCUGCAGUUGAAGACACCUGAGCCCAGUUCCCUCUCGAGCCUCUCUUACAUGGCCUUGGUGAUCACUGCCACUGAUAAGGGAAAUGCCUCUGUCUCAUCUUCAGAAGUCUCAGAUUCACGUUGUGCACACCCAUGUUUCAGUUCUGUCAUUAAUCCCAAAUCCCCUUUUGGAGCGUUUAUCUGAAUUAAUCUCAUCUUGUAAUUUUGCCAUGUAGCUUUAUUUUGCAGCUGGACCCUUCCUUAUCUUUCCUUUUGUAGAUUCUUUCUCUUGGGAGUGGUUUCAGUAAAACACCUCAGAAAGCAUUUAAUUUAGUCUCCGAGUUGGUACUGUAUUUGUUGGCAUUUCUGUCUGGCCUGUUUUCUGCUGACCUUUACUUAAAUGAUUAUGUAUAUGCAUGUGUGCAUGUGUAUUUGUAAUGCUUUCUGUCUUGUUCAAGUUUAAUUUUACUCCCUGAAACAAGCUUUUCUCUUGAGCUCAACAUCCCAGUUGUUUCGUUAGGAUUGUGACAAGUCUGCUCAUACAAGGCACAUCCACGGCACAUCUGAAUGAAAGUAAACAUCCUGUGUUCCUCAGCCUUCUGUAAACCCCAGCAGAUGGCUGCUGCUUUGACAAACUGUGUGGAAUAGGGUGGAUCACAUUUCCCAUGCAACAGACUUAUUUCUGGAAAUCCAAACCCAGUAUAAUUCUUGAAGGUGGCAGCGUGGAUCUAACCACAAAGUGGUUUAGCCCAAAUCAGUCCUACGUGGUGACUCUUUGUAGCUCAGACCCCCUUGCUUUUUGGACUGGAUGUACAGUGGGGGAUACCUUAAAUUGCUGAUCCACACAAAGUUGCAGGAGGACUGGUAGCAGCUUUCACCUGCAGGUCCUUGUUCCUCAACCUCAAGGUCCUUUGUGUAAUACCUCUCCUUGAUAGAAUCUGUGUAUGUUUUUUUGUCCCCUGUGAUUAAGUAUCUUCUGGAGAGAGAUGGUAUUUCUUAGAAUUGACUGGAUUUUUCCUUAAUGCUCAGAGACAGUCCCUGCUCAGGAUACUGGCAGAAUCUGCAGGAGGUGAUGUGUAUUUUCUACACCUCAGGUAACACUCAGGAGACGUGUGCUGCAGACAUAUGUCUUAUCCUGGUUCCCUGCAGCAACAGUUCACUGGUGUGUCUGUGCUUAACCUGUGUCUGGAAUCAAAGGCACUUCAAUGUCCAGGUGGAUUAGCAGCAAUCACAGAAUCGUAGAGUGGUUUGGGUUGGAUAGCACCUUAAAGACCAUCCAGUUCCAACCCUCUGCCGUGGGCAGGGACACCUUCC